CAAGUUGACAUUUGCUUAAUAUUCCUGUAUAAUAGGCUUGCAUACUGAUGUAUGCUAUGGCAAUAAAAAUUACCGUGUAAUAGGUGUAUUGGACCCGAGGGCGGUACUCGGCGCCUCCACCAUUAAGUUUAUGGGGGCGAGUUAGGAUCGACAUACAUAGUAAAGGUGGUAACUUUGCUCGGUAAGACACCGCCGUUAAGAGUUCAUAAUUUAAGUGCAAACGAUAAUAAUCGUAUUGCUUCUGGUAAUGAAAUGUUAGCUGCUGCUUAAUCUAGCACAGUAAUUUUGUUACUAUAAAGCACGGUAUGGGGAACACCGGGUAACAGAAGUUCCCCUCA
rnacentral:tmRNA from 1 species